GCUUGUCUCAAAGAUUAAGCCAUGCAUGUCUAAGUAUAAGCCUUUACACGGUGAGACUGCGAAUGGCUCAUUAAAUCAGAAACUGUUUAUUUGAUAGUGCCUACUACUUGGAUAACCGUAGUAAUUCUAGAGCUAAUACAUGCUAUCAAGCCCGACUUCUUGAAGGGUUGUAUUUAUUAGACUUAAGCCAAUAUUCCUUGUGUCUAUUGCGAUGAUUCAUAAUAACUGAUCGAAUCUCAAAUUUGAGAUAAAUCAUUCAAGUUUCUGCCCUAUCAGCUUUCGAUGGUAGUGUAUUGGACUACCAUGGCAGUAACGGGUAACGAAGAAUUAGGGUUCGAUUUCGGAGAGGGAGCAUGAGAAACGGCUACCACAUCUAAGGAAGGCAGCAGG
rnacentral:rRNA from 1 species